CGUUUCGUUCGCAAUGAAAAAG
rnacentral:tRNA from 1 species